rnacentral:rRNA from 1 species
CCCUGCCAUUUGUACACACCGCCCGUCGCUCCUACCGAUGGAAUGAAGAGAUGAAUUUGACGGACUUGGCUUCGGCUGGGAAAAUCAACUGAAUCUCUUUGUUUAUAGGAAGGAAAAGUCGUAACAAGGUCUUCGUAGGUGAACCUGCAGA